rnacentral:rRNA from 1 species
GAUGAACGCUGGCGGCGUGCCUAAUACAUGCAAGUCGAGCGAACGGACGAGAAGCUUGCUUCUCUGAUGUUAGCGGCGGACGGGUGAGUAACACGUGGAUAACCUACCUAUAAGACUGGGAUAACUUCGGGAAACCGGAGCUAAUACCGGAUAAUAUUUUGAACCGCAUGGUUUAAAAGUGAAAGACGGUCUUGCUGUCACUUAUAGAUGGAUCCGCGCUGCAUUAGCUAGUUGGUAAGGUAACGGCUUACCAAGGCAACGAUGCAUAGCCGACCUGAGAGGGUGAUCGGCCACACUGGAACUGAGACACGGUCCAGACUCCUACGGGAGGCAGCAGUAGGGAAUUUUCCGCAAUGGGCGAAAGCCUGACGGAGCAACGCCGCGUGAGUGAUGAAGGUCUUCGGAUCGUAAAACUCUGUUAUUAGGGAAGAACAUAUGUGUAAGUAACUGUGCACAUCUUGACGGUACCUAAUCAGAAAGCCACGGCUAACUACGUGCCAGCAGCCGCGGUAAUACGUAGGUGGCAAGCGUUAUCCGGAAUUAUUGGGCGUAAAGCGCGCGUAGGCGGUUUUUUAAGUCUGAUGUGAAAGCCCACGGCUCAACCGUGGAGGGUCAUUGGAAACUGGAAAACUUGAGUGCAGAAGAGGAAAGUGGAAUUCCAUGUGUAGCGGUGAAAUGCGCAGAGAUAUGGAGGAACACCAGUGGCGAAGGCGACUUUCUGGUCUGUAACUGACGCUGAUGUGCGAAAGCGUGGGGAUCAAACAGGAUUAGAUACCCUGGUAGUCCACGCCGUAAACGAUGAGUGCUAAGUGUUAGGGGGUUUCCGCCCCUUAGUGCUGCAGCUAACGCAUUAAGCACUCCGCCUGGGGAGUACGACCGCAAGGUUGAAACUCAAAGGAAUUGACGGGGACCCGCACAAGCGGUGGAGCAUGUGGUUUAAUUCGAAGCAACGCGAAGAACCUUACCAAAUCUUGACAUCCUUUGACAACUCUAGAGAUAGAGCUUUCCCCUUCGGGGGACAAAGUGACAGGUGGUGCAUGGUUGUCGUCAGCUCGUGUCGUGAGAUGUUGGGUUAAGUCCCGCAACGAGCGCAACCCUUAAGCUUAGUUGCCAUCAUUAAGUUGGGCACUCUAAGUUGACUGCCGGUGACAAACCGGAGGAAGGUGGGGAUGACGUCAAAUCAUCAUGCCCCUUAUGAUUUGGGCUACACACGUGCUACAAUGGACAAUACAAAGGGCAGCGAAACCGCGAGGUCAAGCAAAUCCCAUAAAGUUGUUCUCAGUUCGGAUUGUAGUCUGCAACUCGACUACAUGAAGCUGGAAUCGCUAGUAAUCGUAGAUCGGCAUGCUACGGUGAAUACGUUCCCGGGUCU